GUGCCAGCAGCCGCGGUAAUUCCAGCUCCAAUAGCGUAUAUUAAAGUUGUUGUGGUUAAAAAGCUCGUAGUUGAACCUUGGGCCUGGCUGGCCGGUCCGCCUCACCGCGUGCACUGGUCCGGCCGGGCCUUUCCCUCUGUGGAACCCCAUACCCUUCACUGGGCGUGGCGGGGAAACAGGACAUUUACUUUGAAAAAAUUAGAGUGCUCCAGGCAGGCCUAUGCUCGAAUACAUUAGCAUGGAAUAAUAAAAUAGGACGCGCGGUUCUAUUUUGUUGGUUUAUAGGACCGCCGUAAUGAUUAAUAGGGACAGUCGGGGGCAUCAGUAUUCAACUGUCAGAGGUGAAAUUCUUGGAUCAGUUGAAGACUAACUACUGCGAAAGCAUUUGCCAAGGAUGUUUUCAUUAAUCAGGAACGAAAGUUAGGGGAUCGAAGACGAUCAGAUACCGUCGUAGUCUUAACCAUAAACUAUGCCGACUAGGGAUCGGACGGUGUUAUUCAUGACCCGUUCGGCACCUUACGAGAAAUCAAAGUGCUUGGGCUCCAGGGGGAGUAUGGUCGCAAGGCUGAAACUUAAAGAAAUUGACGGAAGGGCACCACCAGGGGUGGAGCCUGCGGCUUAAUUUGACUCAACACGGGGAAACUCACCAGGUCCAGACACAAUAAGGAUUGACAGAUUGAGAGCUCUUUCUUGAUUUUGUGGGUGGUGGUGCAUGGCCCGUUCUUAGUUGGUGGGGUGACCUGUCUGCUUAAUUGCGAUAACGAACGAGACCUUAACCUGCUAAAUAGCCCGCAUUGCUCCGGCAGUGCGCUGGCUUCUUAGAGGG
rnacentral:rRNA from 1 species